rnacentral:rRNA from 1 species
AGCUUGCUCAGAUAUGACGAUGGACAUUGCAAAGAGUGGCGAACGGGUGAGUAACACGUGGGAAACCUACCUCUUAGCAGGGGAUAACAUUUGGAAACAGAUGCUAAUACCGUAUAACAAUGACAACCGCAUGGUUGUUAUUUAAAAGAUGGUUCUGCUAUCACUAAGAGAUGGUCCCGCGGUGCAUUAGCUAGUUGGUAAGGUAAUGGCUUACCAAGGCGAUGAUGCAUAGCCGAGUUGAGAGACUGAUCGGCCACAAUGGGACUGAGACACGGCCCAUACUCCUACGGGAGGCAGCAGUAGGGAAUCUUCCACAAUGGGCGAAAGCCUGAUGGAGCAACGCCGCGUGUGUGAUGAAGGGUUUCGGCUCGUAAAACACUGUUGUAAGAGAAGAAUGACAUUGAGAGUAACUGUUCAAUGUGUGACGGUAUCUUACCAGAAAGGAACGGCUAAAUACGUGCCAGCAGCCGCGGUAAUACGUAUGUUCCAAGCGUUAUCCGGAUUUAUUGGGCGUAAAGCGAGCGCAGACGGUUAUUUAAGUCUGAAGUGAAAGCCCUCAGCUCAACUGAGGAAUUGCUUUGGAAACUGGAUGACUUGAGUGCAGUAGAGGAAAGUGGAACUCCAUGUGUAGCGGUGAAAUGCGUAGAUAUAUGGAAGAACACCAGUGGCGAAGGCGGCUUUCUGGACUGUAACUGACGUUGAGGCUCGAAAGUGUGGGUAGCAAACAGGAUUAGAUACCCUGGUAGUCCACACCGUAAACGAUGAGUGCUAGGUG